rnacentral:misc_RNA from 1 species
GCCACACUGGGUUCGGAAGAGACCUUACAAGCUGUGCUCAAAUCCAGUUCAGCUCGCCCAGUAAUAGGUCUAUGAAUCACCAACCAAAAAACAAACAGAAGAAAAGACUUCAAUUCUAGCCAAGCCAUCUUUGACUGACCUAGUUGAUCAAGCAAAUAUGUAUUCCAUCAACAAUAUUUAAAAAAAAAAGGCAACUAUUUUGGCAAAAAAGAUAGAACAGAAAAGGAAUAGAAGUUGCUUGCUAAUGCUAACAUUAAAGAUUCUCAAAAAAACCAUGAUAGGUAGAGAGAAAAUGAAAUAAAAGGUCAAUAAGACAAAAUCUUAGGCACACUCCCUCAUUAGUCACUAUCUCUGAACAUGAAAGCUCACUCUUCAUCUUCUUCA